rnacentral:lncRNA from 1 species
UGUGUGUGUGUGUGUGUGUGUGUUCAAUGAAGGAUAAUUGAUGUUACGUUUUAUAACAGGGAUUUUGUGUGAGGAAGGUUAAAUUUGAAAACAAAUGCGAAUGUACUCACCACAUGACCGAGUGUCUCCCACCUUCAAGAUUCCCAUUUGCAGUUGACCUUUGACAUUCCUUGUGCCUCUUGCUAAUGCUUGGAGUGAACACUUUGGACCUGUUGCCUUGCUGAUAAAAUAUGGACAUCUACCUCAAGAAAAUGCCUAGG